AACGAACGCUGGCGGCAUGCCUAACACAUGCAAGUCGAACGAGACCCCGACUUCGGUUGGACGUCUAGUGGCGCACGGGUGCGUAACGCGUGGGAAUCUGCCCUCGGUUCGGAAUAACAGUUAGAAAUGACUGCUAAUACCGGAUGAUGACGAAAGUCCAAAGAUUUAUCGCCGAGGGAUGAGCCCGCGUAAGAUUAGCUAGUUGGUAGGGUAAAGGCCUACCAAGGCGACGAUCUUUAGCUGGUCUGAGAGGAUGAUCAGCCACACUGGGACUGAGACACGGCCCAGACUCCUACGGGAGGCAGCAGUGGGGAAUAUUGGACAAUGGGCGAAAGCCUGAUCCAGCAAUGCCGCGUGAGUGAUGAAGGCCUUAGGGUUGUAAAGC
rnacentral:rRNA from 1 species